rnacentral:rRNA from 1 species
AUUGAACGCUGGCGGCAGGCCUAACACAUGCAAGUCGAACGAGUGGCGGACGGGUGAGUAAUGUCUGGGAAAGUGCCUGAUGGAGGGGGAUAAGUACCGGAAGCGGUAGCCACUACCGCAUACCUUAAGAUGUGCCCAGUUGGGAUUGGCUAGUUGGUGGGGUAACGGCUCACCAAGACGACGAUCCCUAGCUGGUCUGAGAGGAUGACCAGCCAAACUGGAACUGAGACACGGUCCAGACUCCUACGGGAGGCAGCAGUGGGGAAUAUUGCACAAUGGGCGAAAGCCUGAUGCAGCCAUGCCGCGUGUAUGAAGAAGGCCUUCGGGGUGUAAAGUACUUUCAGCGGGGAGGCGUUACCCGCAGAAGAAGCACCGGCUAACUCCGUGCCAGCAGCCGCGGUAAUAC